rnacentral:lncRNA from 1 species
AUUUCCAAAAAAUAAGUAUACUCUUAAUUAACUGUGUGAUAUUUUUUUUCUCUUUCAACAGAGGGCACCCCGGUAGGAAAUUCUGCACCGUGAUGGGUAAAGCUCUCAGCUUUAUCUUCUGUGCUUCGUUCCUUUUGCUUGGACAACCUAAAUGGACAGAGUUAGCGUGGAGCUUCGCUAGCAGUGGUGGGGUUCUUCCGUCCCAAGGACUGGCCCAUAGAUUUCCACUGCUCUCCUCUCCUCUGCCUUCUGCUCAUUAGGCACUGGACCGAGCUGUUCCUCUUCUUCAUCAG